AUAACCCUGCGGUGUUCGAUCUUAAACGGAGUGUCUGUCCUUUACUCUUUUGAAAUCGGGAGCUGAACCUUGGAGGUGGCUGUCCAGCCGUCAACCGGAAGACAAAAACCAACGAGGAAGCGCCCACCUUAGACACAAAAGGCCUAAGAACUCCCCCUUAUACGGCACAGGUGGGGCCACU
rnacentral:other from 1 species